rnacentral:lncRNA from 1 species
UUGUCUGCUUCCAAUCAAAACGCGACUUACAUUUUGCCAUACCGGAACCGCGCAGCACAUGGUGGCCUUCUAGUCGCAAGCGGGCGCCGCUCCUUUUGACGGCUUAUGUGCCACACAAGUUAGCUGACAUGAGAGGGAAGAACGGUAGGCCGGCAGGCGGGAGGGCGUUCGAACUUCGAACGUUUCAGAAACGAUGAGCUCCUCCGACUGGACGGACCUUGAACGUGAACUCCUACGGAGAAGCGAAGCGCUAAGCGUCGUUCCGUAUGACGACACGCCGCUGGAAAUUUCAGCACCGUCACCGAGAGCGACGCUACAAGAGCACGACAGUGACGAGGGCCAUGGAGAAGCACCGCGUCCCGAGGAUCCCGACGACCACGUGGAUCGCGCCAACAUAAAUUGGUGUCGAUGUGACCGGUGUGAUCACAUGCCUACGGCGUCAGAGCGGCUGUGCUGCCGUGAUAUGCCACAAUGCGUAAUGCGCAAUGAACCAUGCAUUUGUGAAGAUGAUUAUUUUUUUUACGCUGUGUCUUGACACAGAAGUGCUACAUGUGGCGUACUGCGAGCUGCGAGAAAGGGGCGAGCAGCCGUUGAUGGACAUCCACAAGAGGUAUCGAUACAUUGCCUGUCGGCAGUUUACUCGUUGGAUCUGGGGCCGGCUCGGGCCAAGAAACCGGAAAGUGGUUCCUGCUUGUGCUAUUAGGCUCAUCAGAAAAAUGUUCCAUCAGAAGAUUAUGCAGGAUUUAAGUACCCGGAAUUGCAAUAAAAAUCUAA